UCUCCUCUCUCUCUCUCUCUCUCUCGUUCCCUCACUCCUAGAAUGGAUCGAUAACGUUGGACAAGAUCACGAAGUAGAUUGAAACCCUAAUGAGCACAACGAAGAUCAUCCAAAGAACACGAAGAAGAUUAACCCAUUUCUGUCAGAUGUUGCUUAUAGAUUUCAUGGCAAAAGAAAAAGAGAACAGUUCCAUGUCGAAGACAAACUUAAACAUAUAGCCAGCCCUCCAAAAGGUGAACAUGAAAAAUGUCAACUACCAAUCUAACAUCAUUGGUUUAGUAAAACAAAUGACGAGCACCAAGUUCUUAAAUCCUCAACUGGAUUGUUUGAAGGAAACAUCAUUGGUUUAGUUUUUUGAUGUGUUGUGAACCGGUAAAGUUGACCUCGAAAAAUGCAUGAAGUUUAAUGAUGUCAUUGUAUAUGUGCUACGGACGUACAAGGCAUCCAAAGACACACUUUACAUUUGCGAGAAAAAGAUGAAUAUGAAUCUCACAUUCUUUGCAAUUUUGUAAACAUUAGAAUACAUUGAACAAAAGAACCAUAAUUAAUUAUUUUGAUUGUGCUUAAUAAGAUACAAUGGUAUGCUACUACAAAGUCAAUAAUAAUAUUCAUAUUGGUUUAUGUUGUUUUA